GAUGAACGCUAGCGGCAGGCCUAAUACAUGCAAGUCGAACGGGGUGUUGCAGCAAUGUAGCACUUAGUGGCGCACGGGUGCGUAACGCGUAUGCAACCUACCCCUUGCUGGGGCAUAGCCUUCCGAAAGGGAGAUUAACACCGCAUAAGAUAGCAGGAUGGCAUCAUCUGGUUAUUAAAUCUACGGAGGCAAGGGAUGGG
rnacentral:rRNA from 1 species